GACAAUCUGAGUUUCAUCAUUCAAAUAUAAAGCAUCGACAGCCAGUAUUGAUAGUAGAAGAUUACCAAACAAACCACCGCAUACAACCAAAUCCUUUCCGGCUUUGCUCGCCACUUCUUCGAUGACUCUCUCUCUCUCUCUCUCUUCUCUCUCUCCAUCUAUCCAGCCCUCGGGUUAGGGAAUUUCAAUUCAAAGUCUAGCGUUAGUGAUUCUCAUUCAAUUUGGGAAUUUCUCCAAAGCUUUGACUCUACUGUUUUCGUCUCUAUAUCUAUAUCUAUAUAUCUGUCUUUUUGCUAUGGAAUUUGGUGUAUCAG
rnacentral:lncRNA from 1 species